UACGUAGGGCGCAAGCGUUGUCCGGAAUUAUUGGGCGUAAAGAGCUCGUAGGCGGUCUGUCGCGUCUGCCGUGAAAACCCGAGGCUUAACCUCGUGUCUUGCGGUGGAUACGGGCAGACUAGAGGUAGGUAGGGGAGAAUGGAAUUCCCGGUGUAGCGGUGAAAUGCGCAGAUAUCGGGAGGAACACCGGUGGCGAAGGCGGUUCUCUGGGCCUUACCUGACGCUGAGGAGCGAAAGUGUGGGGAGCGAACAGG
rnacentral:rRNA from 1 species